rnacentral:sRNA from 23 species
UUGACGCUGUUUUUGGUUGGAAUGUAGUACCUACUUUACGGAACUAAACGCUGCCACAAAAUAACCUGUCAGUUAUUUUCACUCAAAAAUAUA